AUAACAUUCAGAAGUUUCCCUAAUUUGCAAGACAGAAGGUCAAAAUCAAAUGGACAAUGUUUUCUCCUGGAAAUGAACAAAAGUUAAUUGUUUCCAUCUUCUGUGUCCAGUGUAAUUUACCAGAUUAAAAAAUUGUCCUUGAUUUAAGCCCUGGACAAUGUGAAGUGCAGCCUGUAGGCUGAGCAGGAGAGCAUCUGUCUCUUGGGAGAGCUGGGCAGGAUGCAAAGUGCAAGUUGUACUCGGUGUACCUUCAACUGGGUGAGUUGUGCCAGCAGCAAACUCCCGGGACCUGGAACAGUGCAUGCAUUAACUGCUCCUGGAGCUGUGUGUAUAGUAACUUCAACUGUAGGAAGAAUCCAGAGGCAUGAAAUGAGACCAUUAACCUGCUGCCAAAGAACAACUGUCAUACAGCAUAUCAUCUGAGCUGACAUCCACGUCUCUUUCUUCUGUAAAAAACAUCUUGCCCUUAAGAAAAAAGUUUGAAAGUUGAGAACAAAGGACUGAACAAUGAGCUGAAUUUCAUCUUUAAACCUUUGAAAAGAGACAGGGCGACAGCCCAUCACUUUUCCUUCCUGCAAACCCUUGGUAUGGCAAUAACACCUCAUGACCUGGAAGAUUUUUUUCUCAUAGUGCUCAUGAAACCAGUGUGCCUUCCCAUUAAGAAUUGUCUUUCCCAUUAUUCACAGAAGUCAAACUUUAACUGUAAGGGAAAAUUACUAAAGAAUGUAUGUCAAGAGACAGAGGAGGAGUUAGUCUAGGUCACAAAGUGGAACAUGAAUGUACUUAUACAAGGGAAAGUUCAUCCAAAAUAGAUAAUGGAUUCACAAACUAUACAAGUCAUUUUCUGGAUUAUGUUUCUGUUUUCUCUUAAAAAGUUGUGCAAAAUCUGUAUAGAGACCAAUUAAUGUCCUUCUGCCUCUAAUGUGUCCUGUUUUGUUCUGAAAUAUUUAUGAAAUCUGCAGAAUUGGCUGUACAAAUUUGGUUCUUAACAUUAUAAGUCCUUUGGACAUGGCUAAUUUACAGACAUUUCAUUCACUAUCAUAGUUAGAUAUAAUUCCCUACCUUGAAGAUGUUACAAGCUGUGUCUCUUCAUGUCACCUAUUUCCUACAUGUGAUCUCAAGUACCAACCUGUACGACUGCUGGUGUCAGAGGGAAUAUUCUGUGUUCACAAGUCUCAUCAAAACUUUGUCUUCCUCCACAAUACUUUGGUAUGAAAAAUAAAUAUGUACUAGCCAGAAUAAAAGCUUCUUGCUGCAAGAAUUAUUAUUCUUUUUUUAAAAAAAAGAACACAGAAGAUGUAUUCUCUUGUUAUUCACCAUAAUGAUUAAAUUAGGUAAAUGUAUCAGCUUUUUCUCUAUGACAUUUGAAUGCUCACUUUUUCUGAUUUCUCUCUAUAAUGUCAAAUAUUAAGGCUCAUAUAAAUAAGAUUUCUCUUUGGUCUCUGUUGAAUGUAUUGGAACUAUUUUGAACGCAUAUCAGGUGAUAUGUGGGAAGGUUUUUCUUGGUUUUUAAUUUCUUUCUUUCUUUUUUUUCACCCCCACCCAAAUAAGCUAAUGAAUAGUUGCUUAAAAGUUCCAGUUGUGAAGGCUAAAGACUAUCUGUUUAUUUUUCUCAAUGAGAAGACUAGAAUCUUGUUUUCCCUUGUUCUAUUUUCUCUCUGAAGUUAUGGGACCAUGUUGCUUUCAUUUCUAAGAUUUCCAAUAUAUCACCACAACUCAAUAACAUGCAGAAGCAGCAAUUCUAGAAACUGUGUUAAUGAAGUGAAACAGGAUUUCCUAUAAUCUUUUGAUAUGUCACUGUGGCAUUUUCUGAUAUUGAUCUUUCCAGUGUAAUUAACAAAGGUGAAAAGAGUGUUACUGCAGAAUCAGCAAAAUGUCCAGAUUAUUUUAGUGAUCCAGAAACACGAGAUUUCCUUCCCCAUGGUUACGUUUAGAAAUGGCCAGGAAGAACAAGAACAGUCAAGAUGCAAACUAUAUCUUUCUGUGCAGUUUUGGGAACAUUAUUUUUCCAGUCCAUCCUGUAAACUAUGUCACGGGGCAGAUUUUUUAGCUAACAAAAGGGGUCUGAAGGCUUUAUCAAUUCAACAUCUUAGUCUUGGCAAAGCAAGUACAAAUAUAUUAAAUAAGCAACUGUAUUUUAGUACUUAUUGAGAGGCCUCUUAGCUAGAUUACUGUGUAGCUUCUCAAGUGAAACUCCCUUUAGAUCUAAUAUCCAUAGAAAGUAAUCCAUCAUAAACAAACACAAAGAGGCACAGGCCAUAGUAAUUACAAAAGAAUACAGUUUUGUUUUGUUUCAUUUUUUUGUUUUCCCACCAUUCUCACGGUGGCUUUCAAAGCUUUCUUUAUUGUCAUUUUGUUUUAUCAACAUUGAUCAGAGACUGUGGUGGCAAGCCAGAGCUGAGAGGAUUGAUCUCAGGUUCAAGUAAGAGGGAACUAGAAACGAGUAAAGAACAAUGUAUUUACAGGGAUUUUGACUAAAUCAAAUUCCCAAGUUUUUUGUCAGUUUACUUAACUGGUUUUGGUAUGUUAUUGUAAAUGGCUUUUCCUAUGCAUUUUGGAGGGGGAAACUGGUUUCAUUUGGUUUUAAUAAUUUGAGAAGGUGGUAUAUAAAAAAUUCGACUUAUAUCAACAAGUGAGAAGACAACUCUCAGAUUUUAUCAUUGCCUUUGGACAAGAGUAAAGAGACGAGUUCUUGCACAGCUUUCUGUUGGUCAAAUUGUUAUCCUUGAUGAACUCUUACUCACGGGAAAUUCAGACCCUUUACCAAAAUAUUCACCUGUCACUGUUUUCUGCUAUUCCACACUUUUCCCACCAGAUGGUAGGCAAUAAAAGCAGGAAACAGAAGCUUAUCUAUUACUGUAUACUUAAAAGGAAUCACAAAAAAUUAAAUAAAGUGCAACUGUGAAACAA